UACCGGAAGUGGCGUAACCGGAAGACAAACCGACACUUCUAUGACGGUGUUUUCCAUUGUGACUUCGCUAUUCGCUGAUGCGGUAUCUAAGCGAAGAUUUUUGCUUUUCGUAGUGGUAUGUUUCGUAAAGAUGACUCAUCUGCACACAGUCUGUCAGCUAUAGCCAAAGUAUAUAUACAUUAAGCCGUAAUCGAAGAGAUGGAUGACAUCCAGGAGAACUCAGAGCCAGGCAGUACUCUUUACAGUCCCUGUUUGGAGCCAGACACACCGGAUUCCCUGAAUAAUGCCUGUCUGUUGAAUGACAGUGACCCCCUGUUUGAAGACCUUGGACACUUCCAUGAAUUUUCUUCCACUUUUGUUCCCGAGACCCCUAGCCCCCUGACUCACAGAAGAAAACGUAAUUUCCUGAAAGAUAGCGACAGAAAUGUGGUAAGAGAA